rnacentral:rRNA from 1 species
AGCAGCAGCCGCGGUAAUACGUAGGGUGCAAGCGUUAAUCGGAAUUACUGGGCGUAAAGCGUGCGUAGGUGGUGGUUUAAGUCCGUUGUGAAAGCCCUGGGCUCAACCUGGGAAUUGCAGUGGAUACUGGGUCACUAGAGUGUGGUAGAGGAUAGUGGAAUUUCCGGUGUAGCAGUGAAAUGCGUAGAGAUCGGAAGGAACAUCUGUGGCGAAGGCGACUAUCUGGGCCAACACUGACACUGAGGCACGAAAGCGUGGGGAGCAAACAGGAUUAGAUACCCGCGUAGUCCCUGUCUCUUAUAC